UCAUAUGCUUGUCUCAAAGAUUAAGCCAUGCAUGUCUAAGUAUAAGCGAUUAUACGGCGAAACUGCGAAUGGCUCAUUAAAAAAGUUAUCGUUUAUUUGAUAGUACCUUACUACUUGGAUAACCGUGGUAAUUCUAGAGCUAAUACAUGCUGAAAAUCCCGACUCCGGAAGGGAUGUAUUUAUUAGAUUCAAAGCCAAUGCCCUCUGGGCUCACUGGUGAUUCAUGAUAACUGCUCGAAUCGCACGGCCUUGCGCCGGCGAUGGCUCAUUCAAAUUUCUUCCCUAUCAACUUUCGAUGUUUGGGUAGUGGCCAAACAUGGUUGCAACGGGUAACGGAGGGUUAGGGCUCGACCCCGGAGAAGGAGCCUGAGAAACGGCUACUACAUCCAAGGAAGGCAGCAGGCGCGCAAAUUACCCAAUCCCGACACGGGGAGGUAGUGACAAUAAAUACUGAUACAGGGCUCUUUUGGGUCUUGUAAUUGGAAUGAGUACAAUUUAAAUCCCUUAACGAGGAACAAUUGGAGGGCAAGUCUGGUGCCAGCAGCCGCGGUAAUUCCAGCUCCAAUAGCGUAUAUUAAAGUUGUUGUGGUUAAAAAGCUCGUAGUUGAACCUUGGGCCUGGCUGGCCGGUCCGCCUCACCGCGUGCACUGGUCCGGCCGGGCCUUUCCCUCUGUGGAACCCCAUGCCCUUCACUGGGCGUGGCGGGGAAACAGGACUUUUACUUUGAAAAAAUUAGAGUGCUCCAGGCAGGCCUAUGCUCGAAUACAUUAGCAUGGAAUAAUGAAAUAGGACGCGCGGUUCUAUUUUGUUGGUUUCUAGGACCGCCGUAAUGAUUAAUAGGGACAGUCGGGGGCAUCAGUAUUCAAUGGUCAGAGGUGAAAUUCUUGGAUCCAUUGAAGACUAACUACUGCGAAAGCAUUUGUCAAGGAUGUUUUCAUUAAUCAGGAACGAAAGUUAGGGGAUCGAAGACGAUCAGAUACCGUCGUAGUCUUAACCAUAAACUAUGCCGACUAGGGAUCGGACGAUGUUAAUUUUUGACUCGUUCGGCACCUUACGAGAAAUCAAAGUGCUUGGGCUCCAGGGGGAG
rnacentral:rRNA from 1 species